UACGAAGGUUGCAAGCGUUACUCGGAAUUACUAGGCGUAAAGGGCAGGUAGGUGGUUUUGUAAGUCUAUUGUGAAAGCUCCUGGCUUAACUGGGAGAGGCCAAUGGAUACUGCAGAACUUGAGUAUAGGAGAGGUUACUGGAAUUCCCGGUGUAGCGGUGAAAUGCGCAGAGAUCGGGAGGAACACCAAUGGCGAAAGCAGGUAACUGGACUAUUACUGACACUCAGCUGCGAAAGCUAGGGGAGCAAACAGG
rnacentral:rRNA from 1 species